rfam:Aggregatibacter aphrophilus NJ8700, complete genome.
CCAUCUGUUAAGUAUUGCAGUUGAGAUGAUGGGUAGUCAUUUUGAAGUUUGCAUAGUACUCCAUAACAGGUAGAGUAGAAAGUAAAUUCGUUAGGGUAUUUAAAAGACUGAAGUUUAAACUUCAGUCUUUUUU